CCCAGUGCCAGUAGAUUCCACUGAGUCGUGAAGGGAGUGACACAGACACAGCCAUGCACAGACUGCUCACCACAAGAGACUACUUCUGAGCAUCCUUCUCCUUCUUCAAGAUCUCCUCUCCUUCCCAAACUGCAGGAACCAGAGACAAGAACAAGAACAAGAACAAGAACAAGAACAAGAACAAGCACAGGAAGUGACAUCAAUGGAGCCGAACGACAAGGACACAUUGGAAGCUGAGAAACAGCAAAUGAAUGGUCAAACAGCAGAAGCACUUCAAGAGAUGACGACACCCAAAGAGCCAGCCAAUACAAGUGAGAAUAAUUCAGAUACAAAUGAACAAGAAAAUAAUGAAGAAGAAACAAUUGUGAGUAAUGGAGAUGAAGAGGAAAAUACAAAUGAAGAAAUAGAAAAAGAUGAAGAGGAGGAUGAAUUGGGUGAUGGUUUCCAGCCUUCGGUUGAGAUGUCAAUCCGGCUAUUUGAAAAGGACAAAGGGGAAAUCACCCGCCCUAAUAGCAUGUACAACACUGUCAGCUACAAGAAGAUUAAGAGAGGAAACACAAAGCAGAGAAUAGAUGAGUUUGAGUUCAUACUGGAUGUAUAACAGUGAAUGUAUGUUUUCAUGUGGUUCCUUCAAAAGUAUGUGAUUGUUAAACAAAGGCUUAACACAUGCUCACACACAAUCAAUCACAUGAACAGUAUUUUCUGACAACUUCAUUUCAGCCUAUAUCACAUUUUUGUAGAGAUCAGUAGUUGUAGAAAUCACAUUUUGUAGAAGCUUCAAGACAACUGCCUCAUCUCUGACUGAUUUGAAGUAACCCCUCAUUUGGCAGCGAGCUGGAAAAACAACAUUUAUUUGUCUACAAAUUAGAUAUUUUCAUUCAUGAAUGCUCCUUCAAAUGACACGCAGUCUGUCUGACUAAUGCAGGCCUGAUCUCUACUGUGUAAGUAGUUGCCAAAUCAACAUUGAUGAAUUACUGGAAGAGCUUACAGUUACAUUAGCAUACAGUAUGAAGGGCGUUAUUGUAUUCCUGUUUCUAAUGUAAAUCUACAAGUUUCUAAUGUUGUGUUUAUGGUUUCAUGGCUUUGUAAAUCAUGCUCACAUAUUUUAAAACACAGCAAUAGACAUAAAAGCAGUUUAUCAUUUCUAUAUUCAGAUUUGUAUAUGUAAUGUCUGCAAACUGUGAUUAUAUCUUUGGACAAUUAGUAAUUUUCAUUGUUUUCUAUACAUAAUGACAUAAUGUUACUUAAUAUCUGCCAUACUAGAAACUGCAUUCAUGUAAUCUGUAAUAGUUCUUGAAUUCAUGUAAAAGUUGUUAUGGCUUUCUUUUUCUCUGACUACACAAAAUGAAUAUAUAUAUAUAUAUAUUUCAUCUGGUGAGGUCAAAUAAAAUCUGUGCAAUAACUGGCUUAAAUUGUCUGUAAAUAUCUUACCAAGUUGAG
ensembl:lncRNA